GCGCCCCGGGCGGGGCGGGGGCACGGGGGGAACGCGAAGAACCUUACCACCUUUUGACAUGCCUGGACCGCCAGAGAGAUGUGGCUUUCCCUUCGGGGACUGGGACACAGGUGCUGCAUGGCUGUCGUCAGCUCGUGUCGUGAGAUGUUGGGUUAAGUCCCGCAACGAGCGCAACCCUCGCCAUUAGUUGCCAUCAUUUAGUUGGGAACUCUAAUGGGACUGCCGGUGCUAAGCCGGAGGAAGGUGGGGAUGACGUCAAGUCCUCAUGGCCCUUACAGGGUGGGCUACACACGUGCUACAAUGGCGACUACAGAGGGUUAAUCCUUAAAAGUCGUCUCAGUUCGGAUUGUCCUCUGCAACUCGAGGGCAUGAAGUUGGAAUCGCUAGUAAUCGCGGAUCAACAUGCCGCGGUGAAUACGUUCCCGGGUCUUGUACACACCGACCC
rnacentral:rRNA from 1 species